UUAACUUUUUUGUUUUAUACUCAGACCACAAGAUACAGAGUUGUAAAUCCUCCGGCGGGGACUCGCCCGCAUGGGCCGACGGUUCCCAGAAGGGAACGCCCCGCCGAAGCAACGUGUGGUUAUAAACAAUGGGUGGGAGGCGGACCUUUCGGUCCAACACUCGGUAAUGAUCCUUCCGCAGGUUCACCUACGGAAA
rnacentral:misc_RNA from 1 species